UUUAGGAUCUUAUAAAAUAGAAUUAGUCUAUAAAUACUAAAAUAAUUGAAUCUAAUUAUUUUGUGAUUUUA
rnacentral:tRNA from 1 species